AUUGAACGCUGGCGGCAUGCCUUACACAUGCAAGUCGAACGGCAGCGGACCUUCGGGUGCCGGCGAGUGGCGAACGGGUGAGUAAUAUAUCGGAACGUACCUUUCAGUGGGGGAUAACGUAGCGAAAGUUACGCUAAUACCGCAUAUUCUGUGAGCAGGAAAGCAGGGGAUCGCAAGACCUUGCGCUGAUUGAGCGGCCGAUAUCAGAUUAGCUAGUUGGUGAGGUAAAGGCUCACCAAGGCGACGAUCUGUAGCGGGUCUGAGAGGAUGAUCCGCCACACUGGAACUGAGACACGGUCCAGACUCCUACGGGAGGCAGCAGUGGGGAAUUUUGGACAAUGGGCGCAAGCCUGAUCCAGCCAUGCCGCGUGAGUGAAG
rnacentral:rRNA from 1 species